rnacentral:tRNA from 1 species
AGUGAAUGUAGUUUAUUAAAAAUUUUA